GCCAGGCGUGGUGGUGCAUGCCUGUAAUCCCAGCUACUUGGGAGGCUGAGGCAGGAGAAUCGUUUGAACCCAGGAGGUGGAGGUUGCAGUGAGCCAAGAUGGCGCCACUGCACUCCAGCCUGGGUGACAGAGUGAGACUUCGUCUCAA
ensembl:misc_RNA Metazoa_SRP Metazoan signal recognition particle RNA